rfam:TPA: Bos taurus chromosome 17, whole genome shotgun sequence.
UCCCUGGUGGCUCAGACGGUAAAGCGUCUGCCUGCAAUGCAGGAGACCUGGGUUCGAUUCCUGGGUUGGGAA